CAGCACGUUUCUAAGGACUGUGGCUGGUGUGGCCACAGGAUUGCCAACUGCAUGUGAGAGUGAGCUGGAAACCGACAGUUCAGGUCAACGAAUACCUGUGGCUGCCACGCAGCUUCCCUAUAAGG
ensembl:snoRNA